rnacentral:rRNA from 1 species
AAUGGGCGAGAGCCUGAACCAGCCAAGUCGCGUGAAGGAAGAAGGUUCUAUGGAUUGUAAACUUCUUUUGUAAGGGAAUAAAAAGAGUUACGUGUAACUUAUUGUAUGUACUUUACGAAUAAGGAUCGGCUAACUCCGUGCCAGCAGCCGCGGUAAUACGGAGGAUCCAAGCGUUAUCCGGAUUUAUUGGGUUUAAAGGGUGCGUAGGCGGGCCCUUAAGUCAGUGGUGAAAGUUUGCAGCUUAACUGUAAAAUUGCCAUUGAAACUGAGGGUCUUGAGUGUAAAUAAGGUAGGCGGAAUGUGUUGUGUAGCGGUGAAAUGCUUAGAUAUAACACAGAACACCAAUUGCGAAGGCAGCUUACUGGGAUACAACUGACGCUGAGGCACGAAAGCGUGGGGAUCAAA